UAAAAUAAAUUUUGAAAACUUGCACACAGAAUCGAGUCUCUUUAAGAAGAAACUACAUGCGAGCUAGCCACGUAAUGAUCGAGACUUGUCAACAUAUCACAUAAAACUAUUUAUAGUGUUAUAUAUAUAAUAUGGUAUGUUUUAAUAAUGUUGGAAAUCUAUAUUUAGUGCUAUAAUUAAUCAUGUACGUGCGUUUCUGUGUUGCAAAGUUUCCUCUAGAACUAUCGAUCAGAAUCUUGACUAUAAAACUAUACUUUAAUUGUUAUUAGAUCGAGUCAUCGAGAAUAUUAAGAUAACACACACAUGCAUAUGUAAAUAUGCAAAACCUAAAAAAAUAGUAUCAAAGUAUUUUAAGAAAACAAAGUGACUCGAUAGCCGUAAGAGAAGGCCAGCUCCUACUCAAUUGCAUGAAACCUAUCUUUAAUGUUCUCUUGCCACGAACUCUUCUCUUUUGUCUCCUUCUUUACUCUACACAUCAUCAUCUCUUUUU
rnacentral:lncRNA from 1 species